GACGAACGCCGGCGGCGUGCUUAACACAUGCAAGUCGAACGAAGAGCGACGGAAGCUUGCUUCUAUCAAUCUUAGUGGCGAACGGGUGAGUAACGCGUAAUCAACCUGCCCUUCAGAGGGGGACAACAGUUGGAAACGACUGCUAAUACCGCAUACGAUCUAACCUCGGCAUCGAGGAUAGAUGAAAGGUGGCCUCUACAUGUAAGCUAUCACUGAAGGAGGGGAUUGCGUCUGAUUAGCUAGUUGGAGGGGUAACGGCCCACCAAGGCGAUGAUCAGUAGCCGGUCUGAGAGGAUGAACGGCCACAUUGGGACUGAGACACGGCCCAGACUCCUACGGGAGGCAGCAGUGGGGAAUCUUCCGCAAUGGACGAAAGUCUGACGGAGCAACGCCGCGUGAGUGAUGACGGCCUUCGGGUUGUAAAGCUCUGUUAAUCGGGACGAAAGGCCUUCUUGCGAAUAGUGAGAAGGAUUGACGGUACCGGAAUAGAAAGCCACGGCUAACUACGUG
rnacentral:rRNA from 1 species